rnacentral:lncRNA from 1 species
UGGGGCAAUAGAUGAAAAGAUGAUGAGGUGAAAGAAAGGUGUGAAAGUGUAGGUGGAGGGGGAGAGAGAGGAGAAGAUUAAGAGAGGAAGAGAGAGGCAGAAAAAGGGGGAAGGAGGAAGGCAGAAUACACAGUGAUCAUGUCAAAGGAAAACAAGUGACUGUGAUGUGCAGAACUCCAAAACAAUAGACAGAGGAGGAAGCUGGAAGAACCAGGACAUCAGAGACAAAUACAAUACUAACAACACUGUUAUUGCUGAAAUGUGGGAAGAGAAGACAACUUUCAAAAGGGGUGAGGAGAUCAAGAAAGAAAGGAGAGAGGAAGCGGAAAAGGAUCAGCUUUAUAAAAUCAGAGAUCUUUUGUUGUCAAUUGUCAACAUUUUGAAAUUACUUUCUUUUGGUUUUCAAUUAGUUCCUGAGAAAUGAAAUGAAGCCAUGGUGGAAGAAGAGGACAAAGAAAAGGAGACAGGUAGCCUCUCCAGGAAGUAACCAAUGUUGAACUUUUGAACUUUUCUCACUGUUGAACUUUUCAUUUCUCUAAAAUGUUCCUUCAAAAUAAAAUCUAUCUAUGAAGCACACAUGUAAUUUUCUGAUUUCUGAAAAAAAUCUUGCAAAGAAACCCCUGUGACAAAUUCACCUUUGCUUUGUCAUAAAUCAGAAAUGACUUGAAGACACACGGCAACAACAAUGGUCAAUGUGGGGGUAGGUCUGGCUUAUAGUGUAUUUUAUAGGUAAAAUUUUUGUUUCCUACAUCCUCCCAGCAUGAAAUUUUCAUUUUCACCUUGCUCAGUUCACUAUGCGAAUGAAAAAUAGGUUUUUCUAGAAUUCAUGUAUCUGUUUCCCUCUCCUCCAAGUUUGAACCAGGUGAUGAGUGAAAUCUUGGAUAAGAUUUGUCCCUUUAUUCUGGUAAGCUUUUUAAUGCAAUAACAAUGAAAAUUAGAUUUAGCGUGAGUAUAGUAAACACCCACAUUUCAGAGAAGUGUAAUCACCAUAAAACUGGGUAGGAAUUUUAGAAAGGUUUUAGUGUAAACAUAACUGAGUGACAACUUUUCAGUAAUGUUGCUAUUUAUGGCCUUUAUUACUCCAUAAACACAAGUAUGCCUGGACAGAAAUUACUGACAUAGCAGAAAAAGCUAUAUUUCAAAAACGCUGUGAUGUACAGUUUUUUUCUAUUCAUGAAGUGAUUUCUCACCAACUUGUCACUAUAUACAGUAGAGUCUCACUUAUCCAACACUUGCUUAU